CAUGCAAGUCGAGCGGACAGAAGGGAGCUUGCUCCCGGAUGUUAGCGGCGGACGGGUGAGUAACACGUGGGUAACCUGCCUGUAAGACUGGGAUAACUCCGGGAAACCGGAGCUAAUACCGGAUAGUUCCUUGAACCGCAUGGUUCAAGGAUGAAAGACGGUUUCGGCUGUCACUUACAGAUGGACCCGCGGCGCAUUAGCUAGUUGGUGAGGUAACGGCUCACCAAGGCGACGAUGCGUAGCCGACCUGAGAGGGUGAUCGGCCACACUGGGACUGAGACACGGCCCAGACUCCUACGGGAGGCAGCAGUAGGGAAUCUUCCGCAAUGGACGAAAGUCUGACGGAGCAACGCCGCGUGAGUGAUGAAGGUUUUCGGAUCGUAAAGCUCUGUUGUUAGGGAAGAACAAGUGCAAGAGUAACUGCUUGCACCUUGACGGUACCUAACCAGAAAGCCACGGCUAACUACGUGCCAGCAGCCGCGGUAAUACGUAGGUGGCAAGCGUUGUCCGGAAUUAUUGGGCGUAAAGGGCUCGCAGGCGGUUUCUUAAGUCUGAUGUGAAAGCCCCCGGCUCAACCGGGGAGGGUCAUUGGAAACUGGGAAACUUGAGUGCAGAAGAGGAGAGUGGAAUUCCACGUGUAGCGGUGAAAUGCGUAGAGAUGUGGAGGAACACCAGUGGCGAAGGCGACUCUCUGGUCUGUAACUGACGCUGAGGAGCGAAAGCGUGGGGAGCGAACAGGAUUAGAUACCCUGGUAGUCCA
rnacentral:rRNA from 1 species